rnacentral:rRNA from 1 species
GCAGCAGCCACGGGAAUACGGAGGAUCCAAGCGUUAUCCGGAAUCAUUGGGUUUAAAGGGUCCGUAGGCGGUCUUGUAAGUCAGUGGUGAAAGCCCAUCGCUCAACGGUGGAACGGCCAUUGAUACUGCAGGACUUGAAUUAUUGGGAAGUAACUAGAAUAUGUAGUGUAGCGGUGAAAUGCUUAGAGAUUACAUGGAAUACCAAUUGCGAAGGCAGGUUACUACCAAUUGAUUGACGCUGAUGGACGAAAGCGUGGGUAGCGAACAGGAUUAGAUACCCCCGUAGUCCCUGUCUCUUAUAC